AGAGUUUGAUCAUGGCUCAGAGCGAACGCUGGCGGCAGGCUUAACACAUGCAAGUCGAGCGGGCGUAGCAAUACGUCAGCGGCAGACGGGUGAGUAACGCGUGGGAACGUACCUUUUGGUUCGGAACAACACAGGGAAACUUGUGCUAAUACCGGAUAAGCCCUUACGGGGAAAGAUUUAUCGCCGAAAGAUCGGCCCGCGUCUGAUUAGCUAGUUGGUAGGGUAAUGGCCUACCAAGGCGACGAUCAGCAGCUGGUCUGAGAGGAUGAUCAGCCACAUUGGGACUGAGACACGGCCCAAACUCCUACGGGAGGCAGCAGUGGGGAAUAUUGGACAAUGGGGGCAACCCUGAUCCAGCCAUGCCGCGUGAGUGAUGAAGGCCCUAGGGUUGUAAAGCUCUUUUGUGCGGGAAGAUAAUGACGUAC
rnacentral:rRNA from 1 species